GAUGAACGCUGGCGGCGUGCUUAAUACAUGCAAGUCGAGCGAACAGACGAGGAGCUUGCCUCUCUGACGUUAGACGCGGACGGGUGAGUAACAAGCGGACAACCUACCUAUAAGACUCGAAUAACUUCGGGAACCAAUACCUAAUACCGUAUAAUAUAUAGAACGGCAUGCCUCAAUAGUGCAAGAGGGUUUUGCUGUCAAUGUCAGAUGGAGUCGCGCCUGAUUAGCUAGUUGGUAAGGUAAAGGCUUACCAAGGCAACGAUGAGUAGACGGCCUGAGAGGGUGAUCAGCCACACUGGAACUGAGACACGGUCCAGACUCCUACGGGAGGCAGCAGUAGGGAAUUUUGGACAAUGGGCGAAAGCCUGAUCGAGCAACGCCGCGUGCAUGAUGAAGGUCUUCGGAUCGUAAAAUUCUGUUGUUCGGAAAGAACCAAUGUGGGUGUAUCUAUGCACGUAAUGACGGUACCGUAUCAGUAAGCCCCGGCUAACUACGUG
rnacentral:rRNA from 1 species